AGCGAAAGCUAGUUGUAUUAUUAGUUAAUGCAAGAUCGACUACGUCGACUAAAGUUCUAGGUAGAAUAAUGAUGAUGACAAUUUUUUACCUAUAUGUCUUGACCAAGUCUCGUGCCAGCAGUCGCGGUAAUACGUGGAAGACUAGUGUUAUUCAUCUUUAUUAGGUUUAAAGGGUACCUAGACGGUAUUUCUAGCCCAAAAUAGGGUACGGAUUUACUAGAGUUUUAUGUGAGGAGGGGAGUACUCGUAGAGUAGAGAUGAAAUUUUGUUAUACUAUGAGGUAACUGGUGGCGGCGAAAGCAACCUUCUAUGUAUAAACUGACGUUGAGGGACGAAGGCUUGGGUAGCAAAUAGGAUUAGAUACCCUAGUAGUCCAAGCAGACAAUUCUGAAUGCCAUAGAUUAGAUUAUUUUUGGUCUAUAAAUGAAAGUGUAAGCAUUCCACCUUAGGAGUAAUGUGGCAACACAGGAACUGAAAUCAUUAGACCGUUUCUGAAACCAGUAGUGAAGUAUGUUAUUUAAAUUGAUGGUCCACAAAAACCUUACCACAACUUGAAUAUUUUUAAUUAAUACAAGCGUUGCACGGCUGUCUUCAGUUAAUGUCGUGAGAUUUUGGUUAACUCCAUUAAUUAACGUAAACCCUUACUUU
rnacentral:rRNA from 1 species